ensembl:lncRNA
CCAUGAGCUGGGUGCGCAGCACGGGUGACAGCCCUGGGCUGAGCAGUGCCUCCAGAGGGAUGUGAAGGGCUCUGGGCACUGGUGGUGAUGGAGGAAGCACCAUGUGCACCACCAUCCUGAUCCUGGGUCCACUGGUCCUCCUGCUACGGCGCCGCUUCUGCAACAAAGUCGAACCGCACUCCGAGGGAGAAGAAGAGAUUGGGAGAGAGGCUGGCUCUGACACUCGCGCCACGUAACAGCGCUUCAGAGAAAAGGCCAGCUCCCCUGUGCUCUGCAGCCAGCACCGAGCACAUCCCAGCCUCGGCACCUGCUGGAACCCUCGGCAAAACAACCCAUGACAGCAACAAGGCCACAUCACCCAGCUGCCCUCCCGCUGCUCAGGAAGGACCAGGCUCUGGGCCAAGCUGUGGGGCAGGAAGGAAAUUUGCCUGUCUGAGGCUGAGCCCUGGGUGGUGGCCAGCAGCCCCAGAUGUGGGCACGGAGCAAUCGGGGGUCCUGCUCUCGGCCAUGGGGUUCUCACGUGCUCCACAGCUUUCCCAUGGAUAUAAACCCAUUAAUAAAAGAUCAGUUUGGAGACACAGCUCGCUGUAGAUGACAGCAUUAGAGGCACAUCAGCUUCUCCUAAAGCUCAGUCUCGUGCUGGGUUUAUUUGGUCCAUUUGUGGCAGGGGAAGAGUUGCUUUCGGCAUUCAGAGAUGUCUUGUGUCUGGGAGAAGUAGCGGGGUGAGAUAUAUUUUUGGCUCUAUUUAGCCACAAAAAUUUGGAUUUAGAAUAAAGAGAAAUAUUCCUGUUUGCUGCCA